rnacentral:rRNA from 1 species
CCUAGGGAGGCAGCAGUGGGGAAUAUUGGACAAUGGGCGAAAGCCUGAUCCAGCCAUGCCGCGUGUGUGAAGAAGGCCUUCGGGUUGUAAAGCACUUUCAGUGGGGAAGAAAGCCUUGGGGCUAAUACCCUCGAGGAAGGACAUCACCCACAGAAGAAGCACCGGCUAACUCCGUGCCAGCAGCCGCGGUAAUACGGAGGGUGCGAGCGUUAAUCGGAAUUACUGGGCGUAAAGCGCGCGUAGGCGGUCUGAUAAGCCGGUUGUGAAAGCCCCGGGCUCAACCUGGGAACGGCAUCCGGAACUGUCAGGCUAGAGUGCAGGAGAGGAAGGUAGAAUUCCCGGUGUAGCGGUGAAAUGCGUAGAGAUCGGGAGGAAUACCAGUGGCGAAGGCGGCCUUCUGGACUGACACUGACGCUGAGGUGCGAAAGCGUGGGUAGCAAACAGGAUUAGAUACCCUAGUAGUC